CUUUCUGUUUCCUAUUGGUCAUUAUGAAAACAAAUCAAUGACUGAAAAGUGAAGCAGAAAGAGCCCUGGGAAGAGAGCCCUGGGGAAAAAGAAAACGAAAGUCCUCAAGGUUACCGCCCAGGGUGAAGUCUGCAGACGUCCAGACAAGGGCGUACACCAGGGGCGUGUGGGAAGCCACACAGUCUAAGGAUGAAGUCAUCCCCCAGGAGAGGAAUUUUGAGCCUGGCCCUGGUGUUAUCUGGCCCUGCCUGGACCUUCAGCCUUAGUUCCUCCCAGCUCCACCCCCUGCCUCAUACCACACACUGGCAGGCUCCUGGUCUGCAGAUGAGGGGUCCCAAGCACCCACUCUGCAUCUGUCUAUCCUCAGGUGCUGUCAGAAUUAAACAAGAUCUAGAAUGCUGACCCAGAA